CACAGUUCGGGGAAGCGGCUGGAGUGGACGAUCUGAGUGACGGGCUACCUGGUGGGGGUGGGGGUCCCUUUCCUGGACAGGCCAGGCAAAGGGCCAGAGGGCAGGGGCUCAAAGUCCAGGCCGGGGCGUGGGUCCGGGACCUUUCUGCUGGGCUGAGUCGGCUUCCCGGGGGCGCUGGGGGGGGCAGCCCUGGGUCCCGCUCGUGCUGCACGGCCAGGGACAGCACCCAGCACUGGGCAGGAACAUGCAGCUGCUGACCAGUGCAGACGGGCCCACGGCCGGACAGCCCCAGGGCCACGAGGAGGAGGAGGAGCUGCCCAGGACAGCCGGGAGCGGGGACAAGGGCAGAACCCCUCGAGGAACCUUCCGGUCCUGGCUGUCCCUGAGCCGUCUCACCCUGGGCUGGGAGACACACCAUGACCUGACCAUGACCAUGACCGCGAUGAGACCUUCACUCCUGCAGCUUCAGAAGAGAUGAGGGAUGGCCACAGGCAAAUGUGGCCCCUUCGAAUGCCGCAUCUCACUCACACCUGCUGAUGCCCGUGCUCCCCAUCCAACGAGACUCUUCCCCGGUUACACGCUUCCUCAGCCUCAUCACCUAAUAGCCCGGUGACACGGCGACAUUUUCUCUAAUACUGUGCUUAUAACAACAAGGCUUAUAAUCUAGGUUUAAAAAGCAAGUUAUAAAAGUCAGCCUGGGCUUAAUGGGGAUGCUGAGGGCUCUGGCUUGAAACCGUGAGUGCUUACUAAGUGCCGAGGAGAGGGGCUGCCUUCAGACCUCUCCACACCCCACACAGCCGUGUUCUCCGGGACAGAGACUGGAGCAAGAGCCGGCGCCGUGGGUGGGACUCGCGCCCGUCCUCGGGGAGACGGGCCCAGCGCUCUGCACCUGCUGUUUAGACGGAAGCUAACUGGGCCCCUUGACUGGACGGUGGCUCCUGUGAGCCGAGGCAGCCACGUCUUCUUGGGUCAGCUGGUGCGGGGGGUGGGGGCACUCGCCCUGCACCUGUCUGACACAGGAGGCCCCACACCCACCAGGGAUGAGCCCAGAGCACCUUUAGGGGUGCCCCCGCAAGGCGAGAACUGCCUUUCUGUGCCUCCCUGUGGCGGGAACCGUGCGGAAAGGGACCUGCCUGCUCUCUCCCUUGUUUCUACUGAGUCACGUGAGACACACAGUUACAAAGUUGCUCACGACUGGGCUUCAGUCACAUAAAAUAAAUGAAUCAGUGAUGUCUGGUGG